AAACAUGAAACAAUUUAUGUAAUUAGUUUCGACCUAAUCCCUAGAUAAUAAAAUUUAUCCUUGUUUU
rnacentral:tRNA from 1 species